GCCUCCUUGGUGGAAUGGUAGACACGAUAGACUCAAAAUCUAUUGCUGCAAGGCAUGCCGGUUCAAGUCCGGCAGGAGGUACCA
rnacentral:tRNA from 1 species